rnacentral:tRNA from 1 species
GGUCUACUGGCGCAAUGGUAGCGUAUCAGCCUUCUAUGCGCUUGUGUAAAGGUGAGCUGAGGGUUGCGGGUUCGAGCCCCGCGUGGACCU